rnacentral:lncRNA from 1 species
AAAUUCCAGGAGGCAAGAUGACUGUGAGAAAUAUACAUCCAGGAUUCACACAGAUAUUCCAUGAUCUUCCAAAUCAAGGUACAGUGAUAGCUACAAGGGGGUGGAACUUUGAAAUAAUCAGCAGUUCCUGGUGGCAUGUAACCAAGUAAAAACCAGUCACAGGGAGAGCCACAAAUUCCCAAGGAAGAGAAGCAAAAUGUGAAAGAGGUGCCUCUUAUUAUGAGGGGACGGGGGUGAGGGGAAGUUAUUUGUGGUGAUCCUUAGGCAGACAGAGUGAAAAUUUACAGAUUGUACAUCCCCAAACAGUGGGGAAAAUCAGGAGCCCGGAGAGCAGGAGGUGGGAUACGGAUAAAUCUGCAAAGAGAAGUCAAAGGAUGUGUUGAAGACAAGGAGAUAAAGAGAGAACUAGUGAGCAAGGCUGUAGUCAUCCUGAAAGAUACAGCAGCCAGAAUGAUUUAGGCUUCUGGGAAGGAUCCAAUGAGAAUUCAAGAGGGCAUUGCUUCGGAAAUCCUGUUCCGAUCUUGCCGCUCUCAGUUCUUUAAGAGUUACCUGCGUUGGGAACAUUAUCAUUAGGAUUAAUAGUAUUCCAUCAGUGCAUUUCACAAGGAUUUCCCUUGAACCCUUCUCUCGCUCGCAGAAACAGAAGGAGGCGCAGUGAGGAAGCCCGACACAACCAACCCUCCCCCCUCCCAAAUAAACCACUAGGGUCACUUUAGGAUGACCAAAUCAUCAGCGAUUCACACUGAAGGGGGGAAUCGGAGGGCUGAUGAUGUGGAGGAGGCCGAGUCGCUGGGCGCUUUCGGGGCGCUGUGCCCGGAGGCUCAGGCCAGGGGACAGGGAACCUUGGUUAGAGGCGGCCGCGGAGGCUGCAGGAGCCCACACAGGUCCUGCUUUCUUGGCGAGUCCUGCUGCCCGCGACUGAAGGCAAUUGACUUCCAUCCGCAAUCUCAGCUCCAAACGCCUUGCUUUAGAAGCUGGGGGAACCGUCCCUGGGGGAGCGGGUGGCAGGCUGUGAGCCUCCCGCGACCCCUCUGAUUCCUGCACAGUGCCCGAGGGAGAGUGUGCUAGAAAUGGCUUGGCUGCCGAAUGCAUUAUCUUGCCAUUUUCGUAUCCCGAUACCGCACAAACGAUCGCCUGAUCGAUCGGAACUAGGAGGGAAAGGUAGAGUGGAAAUUGAUUUCUGGCAGAGACUGAGGCGCCGAAUGAUAGAGGGAAUAAACAUUUGCCCUGGAUAAAAAUGUUCUUGGAACUUGAUGACUUAACAGCAAACUCUUGCUUCACGGCUAUUCCAUUCCUCCAGGUAGUGGACAAACCACCAUUUUUCAUCAAGAGCCAAGUUGAUUCUUCCGACUUGCUUACAUAGGGAAUGGAUAGGAGCCAAGAUGGGGAGAACUGGACAUCGAACUAGUUUCCAGAAAUAAACUAAUAAUUCAAGGACUUCUAAUAUUACAUAGUUUGAUUCAUUUAGAAUGUACUACUUAGCAAAGAGUCUUACACAUAUUAGCACCCAAUACAUGCUGAUUUGUUUAUAACAAAUACUGAUAUAGGUGUAAGGAAGUGAAUAAUGAUCAUGAAAUUUGAAGAUUAUAUGAAACAUAUAUGAUAUGAAGAAAAACUACUAAACACAAUAAGAUUAAGUGCAGAAGCCAGUGGAAAUUGGAAAAAUAUUAAAAGAAACUUGAGAUCUAAAAUGAGACCAUAAGAGACUGACUGACAGGGAGUGGGAGGAAUUUUAUUUUCAUGGAAAGAUUGAUAUGAAGCAAUUGGAGCGUUUUCUCCUUGUAUUUUGUACAAUAUUGCAAUCAAGAAAAGAAGCUGAACAUUUGCUUAAUUAGGAUGCAUCAUUAAUUUUAGUGUCUCAUGGAUCCUAAGGCCUUUCACCCCUUUAAUGAAAAUAAAAAGAAACUAAGCCACUUGAUUGCC